rnacentral:misc_RNA from 1 species
GGUAGUGCUAUCUUUUCUAAAAUAAAACCUCCCUUGAACGCCUCGUGUGGUAUGUUUUUCUUGCUUUUUCGAUAUGCUUCAAUUGCUUCUACUGUUCUCUGUUUCGGAGGAAUGGUGGACAGUUGCCCAAUCUCAGCUGAAGCGACUCCAUGAUGGCAACUGAUGCUAUCUCCUGAUUGUCCAAAUCCACUACUUGCUUCAAUGUAGACUCCCUUUUUCGUAAUCCCUACGGUCUGAAUC